rnacentral:lncRNA from 10 species
UCUCGGGUGAGAUCACCACGGAGCGGCUUAGCGCGGCGCACAAGUCUCGCGAGAGAAGCGGCGGCUGGGCCCUGCAGGCGGAGGAAGUGGAAAAAGUCGCGGGAGGGUAGGGGACCGCGGAACUUCUGGUUGCUAUGACGACGGCAAAGCCCUGGAUUCCUGUCUCCUGCGGAGAGCAGAGGCUGCAAACAAAUGAAAAGAGGCUUGCUCAUGACUUGGAAGCGGUGGGCUGAGGCCUCCCAAGACCAUCUGGCUUGUUCCAUUGCCAGCCAGAGUGGAGGCGACAUUCACACGAACCCAGGAGCUGCAGGGGCGCGUGAGCUACAGCUGCCUUGUGGCAUCCAAGGAGUGCGCAGUGAGAUUCCGCAGGAGAAAUCACGCUUUGCAUGUUCUUGAGUACAAGAAACAUGUGUAAUGAGGGUUUUUGUUUGCGGGCAUGCCAAGGAGAACGACUGGAAUAUUAAAGUCAUCACAGCCUUUAUUUAAGGGAGAAGAGGACAAGCAUGAAUAUGCUGAUAGUUCAGAGAUAUUUAGGACCUUCAGCAGCUCAGCACUCAUCCUAGAUUUAUACAAAUACCUUUCCAGAGAUGAAGUUUUUAAAAGCCUUUUAAAGGAAUUUUAUUUGUUCUUUUCACGUGGGGAAAAGUGAUGAGUAUAUCUAUGCAAGUAUGAGAAAUGGCCAAGGCCACUCCAUGUAAUUUUUUACUUAUCCUAUAGCUACACAAAGAAAAUAGCACCAAGUGUUGUAGAGGAAAAUCUACUAGACUUCAAGCCCGGCUUGAAUUCAAUUCUGUGCUCUAAUUCAGACUCUAUCUUUACUUAGCUGAGUCAUAUAAAUUAUUUAAUUUUCUAGACUUCUCACUUCUCUUUCUUUCUUUUUUUUUUAGACUAGUCUCACUCUGUUGCCCAGGCUGGAGUGCAGUGGCGCGAUCUCAGCUUACUUCAGCCUCCGCCUCCCGGUUUCAAGUGAAUUCUCCAGCCUCAACUUCACAAGUAGCUGGGAUUACAGCCACUUUUUAUCUUCUCUCCUGCAAUCCAACCCACAUAAUUUCCAUGAAGAAAGCGGAGUGGUGUCAUUUUACAACAAGAAAACUGAGUUAAGAAUAAGUCCAAUCAAUUGCUAGGUGUUGAGACUGAAAUGGAAGUCUCUUAGUACUCCACCCAAGGAUUUUCAUAUUAAACAAUUAUCU